GCCUGGGUGGCUCAGUCAGUUAAGCAUCUGACUUCAGCUCAGGUCGUGAUCUCACAGUUUGUGAGUUCAAGCCCCACACUGGGCU
rnacentral:tRNA from 1 species